GAAUUUUGGACAAUGGGCGACAGCCUGAUCCAGCCAUGCCGCGUGCAGGAUGAAGGCCUUCGGGUCGUAAACUGCUUUUGUACGGAACGAAAAGACUCUGGUUAAUACCUGGGGUCCAUGACGGUCCCGUAAGAAUAAGCCCCGGCUACCUACGUGCCAGCAGCCGCGGUAAUACGUAGGGUGCAAGCGUUAAUCGGAAUUACUGGGCGUAAAGCGUGCGCAGGCGGUUAUAUAAGACAGAUGUGAAAUCCCCGGGCUCAAACUGGGAACUGCAUUUGUGACUGUAUAGCUAGAGUACGGUAGAGGGGGAUGGAAUUCCGCGUGUAGCAGUGAAAUGCGUAGAUAUGCGGAGGAACACCGAUGGCGAAGGCAAUCCCCUGGACCUGUACUGACGCUCAUGCACGAAAGCGUGGGGAGCAAACAGG
rnacentral:rRNA from 1 species